rnacentral:lncRNA from 1 species
CCAGGUUCCGGUGACAUUUGUCGACAUCGCUGUCUACUUCUCUGAGGAUGAGUGGAAGAACUUGGACGAGUGGCAGAAGGAGCUUUACCACAACCUUGUCAAGGAGAACUACAAAACCCUGGUGUCCCUGGGUAAGAGCGCCCUCCCUCCUCUGGGGCAGGCAGCGUGUGCAGAGGGCAGUGAAACGCUUCCCAACCCACGUUCACACCACCCAGGCAAGGUGUUCGUGUUUAUCCCUCAGGGAAAUGCAAGAAACUCUGUGCUUAUAAUGCCCUAAAGAUAGAAUGAUUCUAACAACACGAAGGUUGAAAGCCCAGUUACAGGAACUGCCACUAUAGCACUCAGCUCGGGGCUGCUUUGUUCUGGAAUGUAGCCAAACCGCAUCACUGGCACCUGACUACACGCCUCAUCCCAAUAGCCUUGGACGAGCCACGGUCUGUCUGCUGCUGGCUUUCAGAGUCCAGCUGUUUCUACACCAGAACCUGGGGAUCCGUUCGCUGGUUCUCAAGGUUCCUCAUAAGAGAUUAGCUCGUAUACGUGAUGGCCACCGCCUCGAGGGGCCCUCUGGUGGGGAGGGCAUCUGGGGUGAGGGAGACUUCUGCCGGCGCCCUUGAUCGGGAUCCACUGGUCAACUUCGCUGUGUCCUUCCUUCCCCUCCAACUCAUUCUAGACGCGGAGGGCGCAGUGCCCAAGCCGGAUGCGCCAUCCCAGGCGGAGCCCAGGGAAGAGCCUUGCGUGUGGGAGCAGC